rnacentral:lncRNA from 1 species
AUGCCUGCUUGUUUUUUUUUGUUUUUUUUGGGUUUUUUUUGGCCACACCUCGUUAUUUCUGCUAUUAUGAGGCCCUCGCAGCGUUGUUUGUCAUCUUGUCGAGGCCCCUCGGUUUCUAUGGAUACUGCCUCCUCAGUGGCCAGGCUAUCAAUUAAAGACAGCUUCGGCUCCCAACUCUUCCCGAGGACUUCGCCGGGAGCCAGAGAUAAUUUCCCUGAAAAGCCCCGUCCGGCACGGCGUCGCCUCUCCAGCACCGGCCGCUCGGUUGCAGCUCAGCCUGUUCGGGUUUUCGAGGUAGAUGCGUGCUGCCAGCAGUGCUGCAAUAUCCAUCGAGGGCCGCCCAGAGAGAAUAGCCGGAGAGAUAGAAGUCAAACAUCUGUGCACCACGAACAUCUGCAGAGCUUCAGCGUGGCGGACUGGAAUGAAAUCCCAUCCUCAGGUCAGAUCCAGGUCCCAAAGUCUCUGAGGUGCAGGAGCGCUUUUAGUCAAACCUUCCCUUUUGCUCGGAAGCCAGAUUCGAGCACCUCCAGCUAAGAGGUGGCCGUGGCCGUGUGCUCAUGUGUCCUGCUCCGUGUCACGCAGCAAGGUGCUCCAAAAAGCACCCCGCUGGCACGGCCCCGCAUCCGUGGGUGCUCACUGCUCCAUUUUCUGGGGUCAGCCACAAGAGGGUGGCAUGAUGAUGUUCACCACGCAGCCUCCCUGCUUGCCGCCGCUUUGCUUCUAGCGUGGCAUUUUACAGCCAGCUCUGGAGCUCUAAUAAAACUUUGGAGCAGCUCUUUCCUUUUGGCA